rnacentral:rRNA from 1 species
UACGUAGGUGGCAAGCGUUGUCCGGAAUUAUUGGGCGUAAAGCGCGCGCAGGCGGUCCCUUAAGUCUGAUGUGAAAGCCCACGGCUCAACCGUGGAGGGUCAUUGGAAACUGGGGGACUUGAGUACAGAAGAGGAAAGCGGAACUCCACGUGUAGCGGUGAAAUGCGUAGAGAUGUGGAGGAACACCAGUGGCGAAGGCGGCUUUCUGGUCUGUAACUGACGCUGAGGCGCGAAAGCGUGGGGAGCAAACAGG